rnacentral:rRNA from 1 species
GACGAACGCUGGCGGCGUGCUUAACACAUGCAAGUCGAACGGAAAGGCCUCUUUCGGGGGGUCCUCGGUGGCGGACCGGGCGGGUAACACGUGAGUAACUUGCCCUUGCCUUUGGGUAAACUCCAGGAACUUGGGGCUAUUACCGGUAAGGAGCUCCUCCUCAAGGGGGGGGGUGGGAAAGUUCCGGGGGUUGGGGAUGGAUUCGCGGCUUAUCAGCUUGUUGGGGGGGAAGUGGCUUACCAAGGCUUUGACGGGUAGCCGGCCUGAGAGGGUGACGGGCCACAUGGGGACUGAGAUACGGCCCAGACUCCUACGGGAGGAAGCAGUGGGGAAUAUUGCACAAGGGGUGGAAGCCUGAUGCAGCAACGCCGUGUGCGGGAUGACGGCCUUCGGGUUGUAAACCGCUUUCGCUCAUGACGAAGCUUUGUGUGACGGUAGUGGGUAAAGAGGCACCGGCUAACUACG